rnacentral:tRNA from 1 species
UGUAGCUCAGCGGUAGAGCACUCCCUUGGUAAGGGAGAGGUCUCGGGUUCAAGUCCCGACG